rnacentral:rRNA from 1 species
UUCCAGCACCCCGAGUGGUCGGGACGAUUAUUGGGCCUAAAGCAUCCGUAGCCGGUUCUGCAAGUCCCCCGUUAAAUCCAGCUGCUCAACAGAUGGGCCGCGGAGGAUACUACAGAGCUAGGAGGCAGGAGAGGCAAGCGGUACUCAGUGGGUAGGGGUAAAAUCCGUUGAUCCAUUGAAGACCACCAGUGGCGAAGGCGGCUUGCCAGAAUGCGCUCGACGGUGAGGGAUGAAAGCUGGGGGAGCAAACCGG